ACUUAUUUGCAUGUGUUUGGGCGAAAAUAGGGUGUUUUGGAACAAAACAAGGUAUAUAGGUCAUUUUUGGCUAGAUUUUUGUUUUCGUUCGCAUGUUCCUACCG
rnacentral:pre_miRNA from 1 species